rnacentral:rRNA from 1 species
GACGAACGCUGGCGGCGUGCCUAAUACAUGCAAGUCGAACGCAGAGGCAGGGGCUUGCUUCUCUGGAUGAGUUGCGAACGGGUGAGUAACACGUGGGUAACCUGCCUGUUAGCGGGGGAUAACUAUUGGAAACGAUAGCUAAUACCGCAUAAGAGUAGAUGUUGCAUGACAUUUGCUUGAAAGGUUCAAUUGCAUCGCUACCAGUUGGAGCUGCGUUGGAUUAGCAAGUUGUUGGGGUAACGGCUCACUAAGGCGACGAUGCAGAGCAGACGUGAGGGGGGGGGUAGCCACACUGGGAGUGUGACAGGGCCCAGACGCCCACGGGAAGGAGCCGGAGGGAAACUGCGGGCAGGGGCGGAAGUCUGACCGCACAAGGCCGCGUGAGUGAAGAAGGGUGUCGGGUCGGAAAGCUCUGUUGUAAGGGAAGAACGAGUGUGAGAGUGGAAAGUGCACACUGUGACGGUAUCUUAUCAGAAAGGAACGGCUAACUACGUG